ACAAUCACACAUGCCGGCUCGGCGAACUCUUUCACGCACUCCAGCGCCGCAUCGGUAUCGGCGAUGUUGUUAUAAGAGAGGGCUUUACCCUGAACCUGGGUUGCGGUAGCAACGGAGGCUUCUUUCACAUUCUCUUCUAUAUAGAAGGCAGCCUGCUGGUGGCUGUUCUCGCCGUAACGCAUAUCCAGCUUCUUAAUGAAGUUCAGGUUCAGCGUGCGUGGGAAGCGACCGGCGGCUUCUUUGCUUUCACCGUGGUAAGCCGGAACCAUGCUGCCGAAGUAGUUGGCAAUCAUGCUGUCGUAGGCGGCAGUGUGUUCGAAGGCUUUGAUGGCGAGGUCGAAACGGGUUGCAAGCGUCAGCGAUCCUUCGUUGUCAUCCAUCUCUUUAAUAAUGGCGUCGUAGUCGCUGCUCUUCACCACGAUUGCGACAUCUUUAUGGUUCUUGGCGGCGGAGCGCACCAUCGUUGGGCCGCCGAUAUCGAUGUUCUCAACCGCAUCUUCCAGCGAGCAACCUUCACGGGCCACGGUCUGGGCGAACGGAUACAGGUUAACAACCACCAUAUCGAUAGGCUGGAUCUGAUGUUCUUCCAUAAUGGCAUCGUCCUGGCCGCGACGGCCCAGAAUGCCACCAUGUACUUUCGGAUGCAGGGUCUUCACGCGUCCAUCCAUCAUCUCCGGGAAACCGGUGUAAUCGGAAACUUCGGUUACCGGCAGACCUUUUUCUGCUAACAGACGGGCAGUGCCCCCUGUAGACAGCAGCUCCACACCGCGUGCGGAAAGUGCCUGGGCGAAUUCGACGAUACCGGCUUUGUCAGAAACACUGAGCAGAGCGCGGCGGACUGGACGACGUUGUUGCAUGGUAAAUCCCCUGGAUUUGACUAUUACAGAGAGCGUUAGCUGAAUUUUUCGCGAAAAACUCAGCUAACGCCCCUAACGGGGCAUCCUUAUUUUUCGCCCGCAUUGUAACGAAAACGUUUGCGCAACGCUCGCGAAUUUUUCUCUUUCAAUGGUGAUCACAAUUUUGACAGUGGUUACCGUGGGAAAAAUACAGAAAUUACAUUGAUGAUUGUGGAUAACUCUGUGCGUAAAAAGGUAUAAAGCGGGGUUUUGCUGGGGAAUGCAGCAGUCAGUCAUUUUUCUGCAAUUUUUCUAUUGCGGCCUGCGGAGAACUCCCUAUAAUGCGCCUCCAUCGACACGGCGGAUGUGAAUCACUUCACACAAACAGCCGGUUCGGUUGAAGAGAAAAAUCUUGAAAUUCAGGGUUGACUCUGAAAGAGGAAAGCGUAAUAUACGCCACCUCGCGACAGUGCGCUAAAGCGCGUCGCAACUGCUCUUUAACAAUUUAUCAGACAAUCUGUGUGGGCACUCGAAGAUACGGAUUCUUAACGUCGCAAGACGAAAAAUGAAUACCAAGUCUCAAGAGUGAACACGUAAUUCAUUACGA
rnacentral:rRNA from 1 species